UACGUAGGGCGCAAGCGUUGUCCGGAAUUAUUGGGCGUAAAGAGCUCGUAGGCGGCUUGUCACGUCGGAUGUGAAAGCCCGGGGCUUAACCCCGGGUCUGCAUUCGAUACGGGCUAGCUAGAGUGUGGUAGGGGAGAUCGGAAUUCCUGGUGUAGCGGUGAAAUGCGCAGAUAUCAGGAGGAACACCGAUGGCGAAGGCAGGUCUCUGGGCCAUAACUGACGCUGAGAAGCGAAAGCAUGGGGAGCGAACAGG
rnacentral:rRNA from 1 species